rnacentral:tRNA from 1 species
AGCAGCAUGGCUCAGUGGAAAGAGCCUGGGCUUAGGGGUCAGAGGUCAUGGGUUCAAAUCCCGGUUCAGCCA